CCUACGGGAGGCAGCAGAGAGGAAUAUUGGGCAAUGGACGAGAGUCUGAACCAGCCAAGUAGCGUGAAGGAUGACUGCCCUAUGGGUUGUAAACUUCUUUUAUAAAGGAAUAAAACGAGGCACGUGUGCCUUUUUGCAUGUACUUUAUGAAUAAGGAUCGGCUAACUCCGUGCCAGCAGCCGCGGUAAUACGGAGGAUCCGAGCGUUAUCCGGAUUGAUUGGGUUUAAAGGGAGCGUAGAUGGGUUGUUAAGUCAGUUGUGAAAGUUUGCGGCUCAACCGUAAAAUGGCAAUUGAUACUGGCAGUCUUGAGUACAGUUGAGGUAGGCGGAAUUCGUGGUGUAGCGGUGAAAUGCUUAGAUAUCACGAAGAACCCCGAUUGCGAAGGCAGCUUACUAAACUGUGACUGACAUUGAUGCUCGAAAGUGUGGGUAUCAAACAGGAUUAGAUACCCCAGUAGUG
rnacentral:rRNA from 1 species